rnacentral:rRNA from 1 species
UACGUAGGGGGCAAGCGUUGUCCGGAAUCAUUGGGCGUAAAGCGCGUGUAGGCGGUCCGGUAAGUCCGCUGUAAAAGUCGGGGGCUCAACCCUCGGAUGCCGGUGGAUACUGUCGGGCUUGAGUACGGAAGAGGCGAGUGGAAUUCCUGGUGUAGCGGUGAAAUGCGCAGAUAUCAGGAGGAACACCAAUUGCGAAGGCAGCUCGCUGGGACGUUACUGACGCUGAGACGCGAAAGCGUGGGUAGCAAACAGG